rnacentral:rRNA from 1 species
UACAGAGGUCUCAAGCGUUGUUUGGAUUCAUUGGGCGUAAAGGGUGCGUAGGUGGCGCUGUAAGUCGGGUGUGAAAUUUCGGAGCUUAACUCCGAAACUGCAUUCGAUACUGCGGUGCUUGAGGACUGGAGAGGAGACUGGAAUUCAUGGUGUAGCAGUGAAAUGCGUAGAUAUCGUAAGGAAGACCAGUGGCGAAGGCGAGUCUCUGGACAGUUACUGACACUGAGGCACGAAGGCCAGGGGAGCAAACGGG